CCAACUUUCUCUCACCUUCAUCCCCCAGAUCCAGAUCGAAGAAAAAUCAUAAUAUUCAAUCUUUUCUCUCACCUUCAUCGCCCAGAUCCAACUUUAUCUCUGACCUUCAAUCUUUCUCACCUUCAUCGCCCAGAUCCAGAUAGACGCCCGUCAACCCUUCAUUCUUUCUGCAACAUCGGCGAGAGGUAUAAAAUCACACAAACACACAGCUUCGUCCUCAUUCUCCUUCCCUGUACAACCACACAGUUAUCAACCGUAACCACUUUCUUCUUCCCUCCCUCCACACACAUAUCCAAUCCACCCACAAACAUCGAAAACCCCAAUUUCCAGAGGGGCGAUUAUGGAUUUAUGGGGGUGUUUGAGAAGAAAAAGAAUAAGGUUAUCAUAGAAGAAGGGUAUUUGAUUGGAAGGCUCGUGGAGGCUAGCAAUUGGGAAGCAGAAGAUAAGGAGACGUCGUAAACGAGGAAAGUGGAGAUGGAAGGUCGAUAAGGAUGAUUCACGUAUGAGGUCGAUAAGGAUGAUUCACGUAUGUUUGUUUGCUUG
rnacentral:lncRNA from 1 species